rnacentral:rRNA from 1 species
GGCAGCACGGGAGCUUGCUCCUGGUGGCGAGUGGCGAACGGGUGGAGUAAUACAUCGGAGCGUACCCUGAAGUGGGGGAUAACGUAGCGAAAGUUACGCUAAUACCGCAUAUUCUGUGAGCAGGAAAGAGGGGGAUCGCAAGACCUCUUGCUUUAGGAGCGGCCGAUGUCGGAUUAGCUAGUUGGUGAGGUAAAGGCUCACCAAGGCGACGAUCCGUAGCGGGUCUGAGAGGAUGAUCCGCCACACUGGGACUGAGACACGGCCCAGACUCCUACGGGAGGCAGCAGUGGGGAAUUUUGGACAAUGGGCGCAAGCCUGAUCCAGCCAUGCCGCGUGAGUGAAGAAGGCCUUCGGGUUGUAAAGCUCUUUCGGUGGGGAAGAAAUGGCACGGGUUAAUACCCUGUGUUGAUGACGGUACCCGCAUAGGAAGCACCGGCUAACUACGUG